rnacentral:rRNA from 1 species
GGGAGUGAAAUAGAACCUGAAACCCUGCACUUACAAGCUGUGGAAGCACAUUUCUUGUGUGACCGCGUACUUGUUGUAGAACGGGCCAACGAGUUACGUUAAGUAGCAAGGUUAAGCACUUAAGGUGUGGAGCCGUAGCGAAAGCGAGUUUUAACUGAGCGUUCAGUUACUUGACGUAGACCCGAAACCGGGCGACCUAC